UACGUAGGGUGCGAGCGUUAAUCGGAAUUACUGGGCGUAAAGCGUGCGAAGGCGGUUAUGUAAGACAGGGGUGAAAUCCCCGGGCUUAACCUGGGAACUGCAUUUGUGACUGCAUAGCUAGAGUACGGUAGAGGGGGAUGGAAUUCCGCGUGUAGCAGUGAAAUGCGUAGAUAUGCGGAGGAACACCGAUGGCGAAGGCAAUCCCCUGGACCUGUACUGACGCUCAUGCACGAAAGCGUGGGGAGCAAACAGG
rnacentral:rRNA from 1 species